rnacentral:rRNA from 1 species
AUUGAACGCUGGCGGCAGGCCUAACACAUGCAAGUCGAACGAGUGGCGGACGGGUGAGUAAUGUCUGGGAAACUGCCCGCUGGAGGGGGAUAACACCUGGAAACGGUAGCUAAUACCGCAUACCAUCGGAUGUGCCCAGGUGGGUUUAGUUAGUGGGUGGGGUAACGGCUCACCUAGGCGACGAUCCCUAGCUGGUCCGAGAGGAUGACCAGCCACACUGGAACUGAGACACGGUCCAGACUCCUACGGGAGGCAGCAGUGGGGAAUAUUGCACAAUGGGCGCAAGCCUGAUGCAGCCAUGCCGCGUGUAUGAAGAAUGCCUUCGGGUUGUAAAGUACUUGCAGCGAGGAGGCGUUACUCGCAGAAGAAGCACCGGCUAACUCCGUGCCAGCAGCCGCGGUAAUUC